AUGAGGAAUCGCAUCCGGCAUGAUUAUCCAUCACUGAUCCAUUGCCUACGAGCUUUUCAUAUAUUGUUCUUCGCUUAUUUACUUUUCCGUUGCUACUGUUACAACUAUUACAAAAACCCAAAAACAUUUAUCUUUAUUGUUGCUAUUGUUACCAUUAUUAUCAUACCACUUUUGCUACUAAACAAUUUGCUGCAGAUACUAAGUUAUCCAGGUGUGGUUGAAUUGACAACUCAACUGCUAAUACUCAAGAAUAUUAUUUGGCUCCCCUUAUUUCGAAUCAAUAAAUUUGGGUUGUACUUCACCCUCGAAAGCUGUUGCGAUCCCCUACACUUGUGGUUUAUCAAGGAUUCGGCCACGAGGGCUUCCACAUCAACCUUGUUGCCCUUCCGAUGA
rnacentral:rRNA from 1 species